GACAAGAAAUAACAAUACGGGGCUUAAAGUCUUGUAAUUGGAAUGAUGGGAAUCUAAACCUCUUCCAGAGUAUCAAUUGGAGGGCAAGUCUGGUGCCAGCAGCCGCGGUAAUUCCAGCUCCAAUAGCGUAUAUUAAAAUUGUUGCAGUUAAAAAGCUCGUAGUUGGAUUUCUGCUGCAUUGCAUUUGCUCCUUGACGAGUGUCUGUAUUGCGGCUUAUUUCGGAUUAUGCUUGCAUUUUCCGGAUGUUUACUUUGAGAAAAUUAGAGUGCUCAAAGCAGGCUUUUGCCUUGAAUAGUUUAGCAUGGAAUAAUAAAGUAGGACUUUGGUUCUAUUUUGUUGGUUUUAGGUACCAAAGUAAUGGUUAAUAGGAACAGUUGGGGGCAUUCGUAUUUAACUGUCAGAGGUGAAAUUCUUAG
rnacentral:rRNA from 1 species